AAUGGGCGCAAGCCUGAUCCAGCCAUGCCGCGUGUGUGAUGAAGGCCCUAGGGUUGUAAAACACUUUCAGUGGGGAAGAUAAUGACGGUACCCACAGAAGAAGCACCGGCUAACUCCGUGCCAGCAGCCGCGGUAAUACGGAGGGAGCUAGCGUUGUUCGGAAUUACUGGGCGUAAAGCGCACGUAGGCGGAUUUGUUAGUCAGAGGUGAAAUCCCGGGGCUCAACCUCGGAACUGCCUUUGAUACUGCAAGUCUAGAGACCGAGAGAGGUGAGUGGAAUUUCCAGUGUAGAGGUGAAAUUCGUAGAUAUUGGAAAGAACACCAGUGGCGAAGGCGGCUCACUGGCUCGGUACUGACGCUGAGGUGCGAAAGCGUGGGGAGCAAACAGGAUU
rnacentral:rRNA from 1 species